rnacentral:tRNA from 1 species
AGUUUAUAAUAAGCCCAACUUCGACCUGGGUAAGGUAAAAUAUUUUUACAUAAACUA